rfam:Lachnospiraceae bacterium 9_1_43BFAA genomic scaffold supercont1.2, whole genome shotgun sequence.
AGCAGAGUAGAGAUGUGUGCGUUAAGUGCCAGACGGACGGGGAGUUGCCGGCUGGACGAAGAGCAGAAGUAGCUUGCGGUACAUAUUUCGCAUCCCGCUGCU